GGCGCAAGGAAGCUGAUUGGCGGGAUCCCU
rnacentral:snRNA from 1 species